rnacentral:rRNA from 1 species
ACGGAAGGCAGCAGUGGGGAAUAUUGCACAAUGGGCGAAAGCCUGAUGCAGCGACGCCGCGUGAGCGAAGAAGUAUUUCGGUAUGUAAAGCUCUAUCAGCAGGGAAGAUAAUGACGGUACCUGACUAAGAAGCACCGGCUAAAUACGUGCCAGCAGCCGCGGUAAUACGUAUGGUGCAAGCGUUAUCCGGAUUUACUGGGUGUAAAGGGAGCGUAGGCGGUUUUACAAGUCUGAUGUGAAAGCCCGGGGCUCAACUCCGGUAUUGCAUUGGAAACUGUAGAACUAGAGUAUCGGAGGGGUAAGUGGAAUUCCUAGUGUAGCGGUGAAAUGCGUAGAUAUUAGGAGGAACACCAGUGGCGAAGGCGGCUUACUGGACGAUUACUGACGCUGAGGCUCGAAAGCGUGGGGAGCAAACAGGAUUAGAUACCCUGGUA